UUUAAGUGUCGGGGCCGCCCGACCGCCCGCACGCGCGCGUGCUGUCCAGCUCGGGUGCUCUCCGUCGUCCACCAUGGGGGUUUCUGUGGCUACCGUUGCAGUUCUACUACUGAAUGCAUUCUCUGCGGCGGAACCAGCCACCGUCCCGUCCCAGACAGGCACCUGCUGGGCCAUGGGCAACCCCCACUAUCGCACCUUCGACGGCACUUACUACAGCUUCAUGAGCAACUGCACUUACACCAUGGUCAAGAACUGCCGCGUGGAUGAGACACACCCGGCCUUCGAGGUGG